UACACGACCGUACCGCAAACCGACACUGGUGCGCGAGAUGAGUAUUCUAAGGCGCUUGAGAGAACUCAGGAGAAGGAACUCGGCAAAUUGACACCGUAACUUCGGAAGAAGGUGUGCCUUUAGUAGGUGAACCAUUUACUUGGGGAGCCCAAUGAGGUUGCAAAAAAUCGGUGGCUGCGACUGUUUAAUAAAAACACAGCACUCUGCAAACACGAAAGUGGACGUAUAGGGUGUGACGCCUGCCCGGUGCUGGAAGAUUAAAUGAUGGGGUGCAAGCUCUUGAUUGAAGUCCCAGUAAACGGCGGCCGUAACAAUAACGGUCCUAAGGUAGCGAAAUUCCUUGUCGGGUAAGUUCCGACCUGCACGAAUGGCGUAACGAUGGCCACACUGUCUCCUCCUGAGACUCAGCGAAGUUGAAAUGUUUGUGAUGAUGCAAUCUCCCCGCGGAAAGACGGAAAGACCCCAUGAACCUUUACUGUAGCUUUGUAUUGGACUUUGAACAGAUCUGUGUAGGAUAGGUGGGAGGCUUUGAAGCGGUGCCGCUAGGUAUCGUGGAGCCAACGUUGAAAUACCACCCUGGUGUGUUUGAGGUUCUAACCUAGGCCCGUAAUCCGGGUCGGGGACAGUGCAUGGUAGGCAGUUUGACUGGGGCGGUCUCCUCCCAAAGCGUAACGGAGGAGUUCGAAGGUACGCUAGGUACGGUCGGACAUCGUGCUAAUAGUGCAAUGGCAUAAGCGUGCUUAACUGCGAGACUGACAAGUCGAGCAGAUGCGAAAGCAGGGCAUAGUGAUCCGGUGGUUCUGUAUGGAAGGGCCAUCGCUCAACGGAUAAAAGGUACUCUGGGGAUAACAGGCUGAUACCGCCCAAGAGUUCAUAUCGACGGCGGUGUUUGGCACCUCGAUGUCGGCUCACCUCAUCCUGGGGCUGUAGCCGGUCCCAAGGGUAUGGCUGUUCGCCAUUUAAAGAGGUACGUGAGCUGGGUUUAAAACGUCGUGAGACAGUUUGGUCCCUAUCUUCCGUGGGCGCUGCAGAUUUGAGGAAGCCUGCUCCUAGUACGAGAGGACCGGAGUGGACGAACCUCUGGUGUAUCGGUUGUCACGCCAGUGGCAUUGCCGAGUAGCUAAGUUCGGAAGAGAUAACCGCUGAAAGCAUCUAAGCGGGAAACUCGUUUCAAGAUGAGAUCUGCCGGGGCCUUGAGCCCCCUAAAGAGUCGUUCAAGACCAGGACGUUGAUAGGUCAGGUGUGGAAGCGCAGUAAUGCGUUAAGCUAACUGAUACUAAUUGCUCGUGCGGCUUGACCU
rnacentral:rRNA from 1 species